rnacentral:ncRNA from 2 species
UCUAAAUAGGUACGUUACCUUCAUAUAUCCUCGAUAAUAUGGGUCGAGAGUCUCUACCGGGUCGCCGUAAAGGACCUGACUAUGAAGGCGGAAUGAAGUUUU